ACGAUUAUAAACUGAAGACACUUAAUUCUGGUAGAUACGUAGACUCAGCUGAUAAUACCAAUCACUACUGAUCAAACUCAGGAUCCAUGUGUGAACUGUAUUCAUUUCUCUGUGGUGCUGGGAGUGGAACCCGGGAUCUUGUAUUCUAGCAAGUGCUAUACCUUUGAGCCACACUUGAGCCCUCCCACACGUACAGUCUUAAGCAUGCUGCUGCCCACACUGACACACAGAGAUGCACACUGACAGGCAGAGUAGCCCCAGCAACCCACAUACAGAUGUGUGUAUCUACACAGAUGACUGAGUCUCACCAAUGCACAUUCCCAAGUAACUAGAACCUAUAAGCUUCUGUGAUGCUUGGUUCUUAAACUCCCCCACUCUCCCCGGCCUCAGUGCAGACAAUGGGGCCAGCUACUAGGCAGGAAACUGGAGUGGCAAGGUAGGCCAUGGUUAUUAAAGAAACCAGACGGGGUGGUGGUGCACACUUCAAAGCCUAGCUCUAGGAAGACAGAGGCAGGUGGAUCUCUAGGCUAGCCUGGUCUGCAGAAUGAGUUCCAGAACAGUUAGGGGGACCUAAACAAACCCUGUAUCUAAAAACAAGAGCUAUAUCCAGUUGCUGCUGGCAUUGGGCAGGUGCCAGCUCCACAUACACCUCCAUGGCAGUGGGCACACCUUCCUCUUCCUCUAGGGACAGCGACUCAGACUUGUACAGUUACCAGCCCCAGAGCUGUCUCUCUGCUUCAUAAGAUGUCACUCCUCAUUUUUAGGGGUGAGAAAAUGGGGAAGAAUAUAUAGGCUGUAGACAGGAUAAGGAGUUGAGCCAAGGCCAGGUUCCCUCCACUUUCUCUGGUGUGCUGUUUGUGCACACGUGUGAGUAUCUAGACUUGCAAAGAUACUGCUUCUCAACAGGAGUCUGGGAUGUAAGAGACAGGGACUGGGGGCUGGAGAAGUGGCUCAGGGCUUAAGAGCACUUAUUGCUCUUUCCAAGGAUCUGGGCUCUAUUCACAGUACCUCCAGGGUAGCUUACCACCAUCUUGUAACUCCAAUUCCAUGGGGAUCUGACGCCCUCUUCUGAUCUGUGGGCACCAGGCGUGCAAAACAUUUAAAAUAUAAUUAAGUCUUUUUUAAAAGUAACUUUAAAAGUCGUUUAUUUUUAUUUCAUGCGUAUUAUUGGUGCUUUGCCUGCGUGUAUGUCUGGGUGAGGAUGUCCGAUUUCCUGGAACAGGAGUUACAGACAGCUGUUAGCUGCCAUGUGGUUGCUGGGAGUUGAACCAGAGUCCUGCAAGAGCAGCCAGUGCUCUUAACCACAGAGCCAUCUCUCCAUUCCAAGUCAUUGCAUUUUUAAAGAGUUCAAAGAAAGAAGGUGGGAUGGUAGGUAGGUACUGAGCCUCUGCAGUGGGGUAAAGUCAGAUCAGGACUGGUAUUUGUGGAGCAUGCCCACCUGGCUCAGUUGCCCUCUGCCUGACUCCUCCGUCCAUGCUCCAUCUAUGCUUAUCUUUGGUGUGCUGUGUUUGCUUCUACAGAUGGGGAGGUUGCCUGACUGUCUACCCAUCGGCCUGGACCCCAGAGCCAAGCCAGCUGAGUGAGUGCCGAGGGUCCCAGGUGACCGGGGGAGUGGCACUGCUCAGGCCUCUGCAAAGACUACCCUGGAGAAGCUGAUGCUGGUGGAGACAGCCCUUUCUUGCUGAGUCCAGCCUCUGCAGAGCCUGCGCAGGUAACUGUGAGCCAGUGUAACAAAGAUCGCCUCUUAGCUUAGGCAGAGAGAGAGACAUUAAUCUAGCCUAUUCGAACUCCCCAUUAUCCAGAGAAGGGAAUAGAGGCUCAUGUGGCACAGUGAGUCCCUUAGCAUCCUGCCUCCUAGCCUGAGGACUCUUCCCUAUGCCUCCAUGACCUGGAGAACUGGGCGGAGAGAUGGGUUGUGACGGUGACCAGGAUUCAGGGCAGAGGUGGAAGCCAGCGUGCCUGAUAUAUGCAGCUGACCUCCCCAGGACUCCUCUACAGAGCUGAGAGGCCAUGGUAGUCCAGGUGUGAUUGCAUGCCCGGCAGCUGGCCGCAGGGCAGGCCAUGGCAGGACCCAUCUUUCUUGUGGCCCAGGUUUAGCCCACCCAGGCUCCCAGCCACAGAGGCCAGGUGGGGCUGCCCUGCCCUAUAGAGGCAACUCCCUGAACUGACACAUGAAGCCUCAGGCUCCAGGAAGCUCCUUAGAGUUUAGCCUGCUGGAAACCCCACCCAACUUCCAAAGGAGCAUUCCUGAGGUCUGCAUGGGGGUUGGGCCUCCAGGGAUGGGAAGGGUGGGGAGGCAGGGCUGCAGGAGGAUGUGAGGCUGUAAAUGUGCUGUGCUGGGUCUGUGUGCAAGCAGGUGUGUGGGGCUCUCUGUCCUUAGUGCACAGGGUUGUGUAUGCAAGAGUUACAUAAGUGGCCUAUGUGGGGGGAAUAGUUAAGAGCUUCACAUGUGUGCUGUAGUGGUGACUGCUGGCUAUGGAUCCUAUGCAGGUGUGGGUAUCCUGGGCUGUCUACCACACAGGGUACUAGUGGACCAAGACUCAAACACCCUUGGGUGGGUUUGUGUGUGCUCAGGGUUCUGAGCACAAGGUGAGGUGGCAUGUGCACAUGGCUCCCUUUGUGUUUUGGAGGUGGGCUGGGCAGGACUUGGGCUGCGCUGGGCUCAGCAAUGCCCAGCCUUGUGGCCAAACUGCUGAAGUCACUUCCUUUUCAACAGUGACUUUCCAGGGGGAGGAGUUCUUCCGACCUGGUCGGCAGUGAGGGGCGUGGCCGAACUGGCUCUCUCUGGGGAGGGAUGUGGGCGGGGGCGGGAGAGAGGUGGGAGGAGGUGCUAGUGGUACUGGAAGAGGGAGUCCUCUGGGAGACAGAAGGAAAGACAAGGACAGGAGUCUGGAAGGGCCAAGGGCAGGAGGGAAUGGGGGUGGAGUGGGGCGGAAAGCACAGUCCCUGGGUGACCUCGGAGGGAGGAAGGGAGGGCUGCCAAUGAGGUGACCCUCGGGUUCAGUGAGAGCUGGCAGUGGCGCCUACACACCUGGCACUCGGGGCAAGGGGCUGGCAGGGGGCGGUUCAGGAACAGACCUGCUUGCCAGGUGCCCCACUCUGGACAGGAAGAGGGUGGGCGGGGGCUGUACAAAGGAGCUCUGUGUGGCUGAGGAUAGGGUAGGGUGGGGUAUGCAGUGCUGUACUGUUCUGGGGUUGGGGGAGAUGAUGGGGGCGGGGCAGGACCAGUUCCCCUUGGGGCAUCAGUGGCUCCAGGGGGACACCUAGUGGUCAGGGGAGGUAGUGCAUCUUGAUAACAAACUGGGGGAAAAGAGAUUAGAAGUGGUAGUUGAGAUAGUUGAGGAGGCCAGGGCUAGUCUGAAUCUUUGGAUGAUGAAGCAAUUUGACUUAAAGGAUCCCAACAAAACCAAACUUAGGUGACAACAAAGCUGAUUGGCAUGGCUGUGUGUCCUUAAGGGCAUGACUAAGCCUCUCUGUGUUCACAUUUAAAUGCAAAACAAGUGACUGGGGCUGGUGAGAUGGCUCAGCAGGUAAGAGCACCCGACUGCUCUUCCAAAGGUCUAGAGUUCAAAUCCCAGCAACCACAUGGUGGCUCACAACCAUCCCUAACGAGAUCUGACUCCCUCUUCUGGUGUGUCUGAAGACAGCUACAGUGUACUUACAUGUAAUAAAUAAAUAAUCU
rnacentral:lncRNA from 1 species